rnacentral:rRNA from 1 species
AGUGAACGCUGGCGGUAGACCUAACACAUGCAAGUCGAACGGCAGCACAGUAAGAGCUUGCUCUUACGGGUGGCGAGUGGCGGACGGGUGAGGAAUACAUCGGAAUCUACUUUUUCGUGGGGGAUAACGUAGGGAAACUUACGCUAAUACCGCAUACGACCUACGGGUGAAAGCAGGGGAUCUUCGGACCUUGCGCGAUUGAAUGAGCCGAUGUCGGAUUAGCUAGUUGGCGGGGUAAAGGCCCACCAAGGCGACGAUCCGUAGCUGGUCUGAGAGGAUGAUCAGCCACACUGGAACUGAGACACGGUCCAGACUCCUACGGGAAGCAGCAGUGGGGAAUAUUGGACAAUGGGCGCAAGCCUGAUCCAGCCAUACCGCGUGGGUGAAGAAGGCCUUCGGGUUGUAAAGCCCUUUUGUUGGGAAAGAAAAGCAGCAGGUUAAUACCCCGCUGUUCUGACGGUACCCAAAGAAUAAGCACCGGCUAACUUCGUG